rnacentral:lncRNA from 1 species
UAAGUGAGAGAGAACUUCUGUUUGUCUCCAACCCAGAACUGCUCUAAGAAUUAGAACUGAAGCUUUCUUCCUGGAUUCCCCAAACUCAUACAAUAACCCCAGGUAAUGCCUUGGGAAGAAUGUGAUUAAAAAGAUUUACAUUUUAAAAGUAUUUGCAAG